rnacentral:rRNA from 1 species
GACAGAGGGUGCAAACGUUGCUCGGAAUCACUGGGCGUAAAGGGCGUGUAGGCGGGAAGGAAAGUCAGAUGUGAAAUCCCCAGGCUCAACCUGGGAACUGCAUUUGAAACUCCCUUUCUUGAGUACCGGAGAGGAAAGUGGAAUUCCUGGUGUAGAGGUGAAAAUUCGUAGAUAUCAGGAGGAACACCAGUGGCGAAGGCGGCUUUCUGGACGGUAACUGACGCUGAGACGCGAAAGCGUGGGGAGCAAACAGG